rnacentral:rRNA from 1 species
GAUGAACGCUAGCGGCAGGCCUAAUACAUGCAAGUCGAACGGUGUAGCAAUACACAGUGGCGCACGGGUGCGUAACACGUAUGCAACCUACCUUACAUUGGGGGAUAGCCUUUCGAAAGGGAGGUUAAUACCGCAUAAGACAGUAACUAGGCAUCUAGUAGCUGUUAAAGAUUUAUCGAUGUAAGCUGGGCAUGCGUCCAAUUAGUUAGUUGGCGAGGUAAUGGCUCACCAAGACGAUGAUUGGUAGGGGAACUGAGAGGUCAAUCCCCCACACUGGCACUGAGAUACGGGCCAGACUCCUACGGGAGGCAGCAGUAGGGAAUAUUGGGCAAUGGGCGCAAGCCUGACCCAGCCAUGCCGCGUGCAGGAAGAAGGCGUUAUGCGUUGUAAACUGCUUUUAUACGGGAAGAAACGACCCUUGCGAGGGGCAUUGACGGUACUGUAUGAAUAAGCACCGGCUAACUCCGUGCCAGCCGCCGCAGUAAUAC